rnacentral:lncRNA from 1 species
CACAACAGGCAAAGAAGGCAGCAGAUACUCCAGGCUGCUGACAGCUCCUCACUAAUGAAGGACAAGGGGACCGGAGUAGUAGUAAUAUGUUCCAUCAAAUGCCAGUAUCUGGAAACUUGUGGCAUAAUUCUUGCACAAAUCACAGGGAAGAAAACUGGAAAGAGAGGGUAACAGAUGUAACAUUCUGUUAACAUUUAUCCUCUAUUCUUUAGAUGACUUAGUCAGAAAAAAGACUGUUUGCUGUCAAAGAAAGCUCUCAACUGUGACAGCUAUGAUUUCUCAGACUCUAGAAGAUUCACCUUCCAAGCUGUCUACCGUAUUUCAAGUCUGACACCUCCUGUGGGACACAGUGUCCCACAACCCAUUUUUCUCAUUAUAACCACUCUGAAGCCAACUUUAUGUGAGGAACCAGAUACAUUCUGUACGAAUAGCAAGAAACUGUUAAUCUCACUUCCACAAAAAAUGUUAAGUCCAAACACCAAAGAAAAAGAAAUACAUGUAUGAAUACAUUUCUGCUACCAUCUUGCCAAUCUCAUCAACACUCGCACUUCUAAGAAUGGAGGCAAGAAAUCUGUCGAAAACUGAAGACAGACAGAUACUGUUAGCAGAACAUAUCUUUUAGGAAAUUUGAGUUGGCUGGUAAAGGGAAAACGUGAAUCAUCUCAGUCAUCAGCCCCCUGUUAAAACUGAGACAAGACUCUUAAAUGGGGCUCAUUAAAGUACAAAUAACAAUUUUCAUGGGAGUUAUAUUUAUCGUGAUGUACAACAGUUAACUGAUACACUGAAACCUGUAAGAAAUAUGUCAAAUACAGCACUAAUGUUGUUGUUUUUUUUUUUUUUUCCUUAAAUCUUGUAAUGUGCAAAACAUUUAUUCCUUCAAGUACACUGUAUUUAUGGGCUUUACUGUUACCAAGAUAUUUGCUAUUAACCAGUUGAAAUUCCAACUCUGCUUGCUUCAAUCUGAUAGAAACAUACUUGUAAAUAGUCAUUCUUGAUUCAAAGGAAAUGCAGAUGAGAGAUUUUGAAAGGAGGGUUUGGCCAAUAGGCCUAAAAGGAUGAGUUUUACUAUUUCUUUUUUUUUUUAAAAUAGAACUAGCAGUUAGGGAUAAUAUUUUUCAAAGUUUGCUGGUGGAUAUAUCUCAGGCUCUGUUUUGUCAGCUUGUAUUAAAUAUACCCUUUCUCUUUUGAAUAUCCUUUAUAUGAAAAAGGUCUAAUAUUUUAGUCUGGUCUGCGUCACUUUUAAGAGAGAGAGGGGUUUGCUAUAUAUAACUAUCCAGCAUUUCUCUUUCCCCUGUAAUUAAUACAGUUAGAGACCCUUAACUUAUUCUGUAACGUACUGACAUGGGCUAACACAUAAGCCUCUACAGUUCAGAGUAGCCAAUUAUACCUGCUGACUGUCAGCUGGUAGCCAUGGUAUCUGCCAGCUUUGCUGGUUGUUCUCAC